GAUGAACGCUAGCUACAGGCUUAACACAUGCAAGUCGAGGGGAAACGACAUCGAAAGCUUGCUUUUGAUGGGCGUCUACCGGCGCACGGGUGAGUAACGCGUAUCCAACCUGCCCACCACUUGGGGAUAACCUUGCGAAAGUAAGACUAAUACCCAAUGAUAUCCCACGAAGACAUCUGAAUGGGAUUAAAGAUUUAUCGGUGAUGGAUGGGGAUGCGUCUGAUUAGCUUGUUGGCGGGGUAACGGCCCACCAAGGCAACGAUCAGUAGGGGUUCUGAGAGGAAGGUCCCCCACAUUGGAACUGAGACACGGUCCAAACUCCUACGGGAGGCAGCAGUGAGGAAUAUUGGUCAAUGGGCGAGAGCCUGAACCAGCCAAGUAGCGUGCAGGAAGACGGCCCUAUGGGUUGUAAACUGCUUUUAUAAGGGAAUAAAGUGGGUCACGUGUGACUUUUUGCAUGUACCUUAUGAAUAAGGACCGGCUAAUUCCGUG
rnacentral:rRNA from 1 species